UAUGUAAAUCCUCCGUCUCGAAUUAGUUGACUCAGAUUUGUCUAGAUACGGAUGUAUCUAGACACGUUUUAGCGUUACAUCUAUAUCUAGACAAAUCUAAGUCAACUAAUUUAGGACGGUGGGAGUAUAAU
rnacentral:pre_miRNA from 1 species